rnacentral:misc_RNA from 1 species
AAUAACGAUGAAUCGUAUGGCAGACGUUGAUCACAGUAAUGGAUUUGCCCUUCACUGUGCACUCUUUAACAAUCUCUGUUGACCACUGAUUUGUGUUACCGGUAGUAAUGUGAAUACCUGUUACACCAGGAACACGUGAUCUUUCAAAAGGAGAAUAUCGCUGGUGUGGAAUAAUCAUCAGACGACGGACUUUAGUGACAAACGGUCAUGACCUUCCACAGUGAGAUUACAGGAGAACCUACAACAGACAUCUUUAAAAUGUUCCUCUUUAUUGUAAACUCGAGAGGUGAGCUUAACAAGUCCACGUAUUUUCGAACGUGGCGUCAAAAUACAACCGAAAGAUAAACUAAAAUCCGUAUAAAGUGUACUACAAGGGUCAUGAUAAUGGCGAAGACUUCUCAGUCAUCGAAGUGAGGCCAAACGUCGCUCUGAGAUUACAGAGAUUGCGUUGUGUACGAAGGAACGACCAGGAAGAUGCCCUGCGUCCAUUGCCAGGGCGGAAGGAGCAGUUACCGCGCGGACAAACCUCGACGACGACGGUCAGAAUCUACUCCCGAGAGAUUGCUACUGAGCCUGCACUGCGGUCACAAUGUCUCAGGGAGAUGCGACAGUAACAGAAGCGGUCACCAGCGGCGGUUCACCGAGGCUUGUGAUCAAAGCUGGUCAGCUCGGCCUGCUCCAUCGUGCAGCUGCCAGACAAUGGCGUGCAACAAGUCAUGGAAGCACACGGCAGUUCGUGAGGGAUCCUUAUGCAAGACAGCUGCUUCGACUGUGUCUGGCAGGCUUCCUGAAGGCGAAGAGCUGUGCUGCAGCCAUUGCAGGAGCGGGCAGAGGAUUUGUCACAAGCAGGGAGACGAGGGGCAGUGCGGUGCCAAGCCCCAGUCCUUGUGCGAAUGCGGUGACAGUUUUGCUGGAUCAGUCGCCAACAAAGCUAUUCUUUUUGAGGAAAGUUCAAAGCAAAACCAUGAAAGUUGCGAUAAAGACAAAGGCGAGGCCAUGCAGGCAAUGACUUCUGAAGCACUCCCAAAACAGAACAAAGGGGUUGCGACAAACACUUCCAGCAGCAAACAAGAUCAGUCUGAGAACAACGCCAAGAACGCGACUUUUGAAGACAGGGCCGUGAAGAAUAGCGAAGAAUGCAGCCACUGUAGGGAUGAAAUGUCUGUUGGCUGGAAAAAUAGAAACGAAAACCGCCGUCAAAUGAGUUGCCCAUGCGAGAACUUUGAUUCGCUGGUUGCAAAUGCUGAAGAGCCGAAGUCAACUUCACAUCGACAUUGCAGAAUGAUUGCCUACGUCACCAGAUUGAGCAAGGAACACGACCAUUUUAGCACGGACGGCGGCAUCCGCACUCAGACCAGAGGAAAAUCGCGGAAGAUGAACCCGGCGCCGUCAUGUGUUGUGCAGCCCAGGUGCGGUGCAAACAGCCAAACGUCAUUGGAGAACGAUGAUGGCGAUGAAGAUGACGUGGACGACGACGAAGAAGAAGACAGCGAUGAAGAUGACGGCUCCGCUGACGAGAUGAGGGCGAGGAGCAGCCAGCAUGGAGCCACCCUCACUGCCAACUUGUACGACCUCUGGCGGGAACGCCGUAUGUGUGACGUGGCGCUGCGAGCGGAGGACGAGGAGGUGCUGGCUCACAAGCUGGCCCUCGCCGCCUUCAGCUCCACCUUCGCUCACCGCUACUGCGAGGUCAAGGGAAGCGACGGCAAGUUGCUGCACAUCGACGUGCCGGGCACCACGGCGGCGGGACUGAAGGAGCUUUUACGCUUUGUUUACACGGGAGAAAUCCGCAUCACAUUCGACAACAUAGGCCCCGUUCUGGCUGCCGCCUCCUGCCUGUACAUUGAUGACGUCGUCACUGUCUGCAAACAGGUCAAUAAUAUGCUAAUGCAACCAGCCGUGGAUAAUGUGAUCUACUUUCACCACCUUGUUGAGAAGUACCACCUCAUCGACAACCUCAACUACUUUGACGACUUCAUUUGUAAGAAUUUUCAGCAAGUGUAUCGCACAGGGGGCUGGCCAAAUGCGACUUAUGGACAUGUGCUUGAUCUCCUGAGUGACGACAACCUGAAUGUGGACCGUGAGCUGGACGUCUUCUACGCUGCUUUGGCUUGGAUUGAUGGCGACCGUAGCCACAGGUUGUCUUAUGCUGCCGACCUGAUUGGCUGCGUGCGUUUUGCUUACAUCACGCCGGAGGAAAUCGCCAAACAUGUGGAAACAAAGCAGUUUCUUUUCCAAGGGGACGACGGAAAGGAGCUGCUACUGUGCAUUUACAGACAUCAUGCCCUGCAGACGUGUGCGUGUAAGGACGGGAAACAUGUUAAGACACUGCCUCGGCGGAAAUAUCGGCUAGUGUCACACGUUGCCAAGUUGGCGGCAUCUCCGCCAGAAACGCCGACACAACGUCGGCAUUCUCAUAGUCUGCCUCUAGUACCGUCUCGUUCUGAGGUCAUUCUGGCUGCUGGCGGCGUCAACCCUUUCCAGCCCGAGAUGGAGGUACAAGCGCGGCUGGUGGAGCAGUACAACCCACGUAACAACCACUGGACCACGCUGACAAAAUUGCCGGACGGGAGACAUCAUCACAGCAUGGUGGUCCUCGGCGGCUGCCUCUACGUCAUAGGAGGUUCUGUGCUGGACGAGCUUAACCCUGGACAUUUGUGUAACCCCACAGGAAGCUGCUACCGCUACCAGUACGGCAAUGACCAGUGGAGUGCCAUAGCCCCUCUGCUCACGGCCCGCAUGUACCAUGCCACUGCUGUCCUCGGUGACCGCAUCUUUGCUAUAGCUGGCCAGACUCACCAUUCCAGUGGAGUUUUACCGGGCCGACUUGGACGAGUGGGAGGCGGGGCCGGAUCUAGAAGAGGCCCGUAUCGGCGUGGCGGUCGCAGCCUACAUGGGGAUGCUGUUUGCUGCUGGUGGCUUCCUGGAGACAGACAACGAACAGCUGGUGCGAGAUACCGUGGAGGUGUACGACAACAAGACACGCCGGUGGACGAGGCGAAAUCCUCUUCCCAGACCACGUUGCCAUGCCGGCCUGGUCGUUUGCAUCGGGAAACUGUACCUGAUCGGGGGCUCCACCUUCCCUGGCGACAGUCCUAACGUUCUCAGUCUGGCCUCCGUCCUGAGAUACGACGAAGUUAAUGACAGGUGGGAGAAAAUCCAGACACUGCGCAUGCCGCGUCACGACAUGGGGGUCGCUGUGCUGGGCACCCGUAUCUUUGUGGUGGGAGGAGUGUCUUCGACCGACAGCAAGGUGUUGAGUGACGUGGAGUGUCUGGACGUAGA